AGGUGCUGGAGGUGCUGUUUUUCCUGAAGCUCAGUCAGAGGCUGGAACUGAGUAGGAAUGCUUGCGGGGUUUAGCAGCCUCAUGAUCUCCCAGCCUCGCAUUCCUCUAUAGCAGUGUUAUUUGGGCAUUUGAGUUUUGAUUGUGAACUAUCUAAAGGUUUGUUUGUUUUUUUUUUUUUUUUUCUGAAAUAAUCAGGAAGUCCCUCCGUCCGGGAACAGACAGCGAUAGAUGAAACUCUUCUGGGGCACAAGGAAGGGUGCCACUUAGAACAGGAUCCUCAAGCCUGUGAAAGAGGCAGCGCCUUGUUAAAAAUACCUAGCUUACUUCGGGGGAGGAUUUGGCUGAAUACUGAUGAAGUUUAUGAAAUAUGAAUGUAGUGAAGUUGCUGUACGUAAGUGGUAGGCGUGUGUGAAAGAAGUAAGAAGAAAUAAAAUUGUGUAUAAAUGACACUCCGAAACUUGAUGAAUUGUAUACGUGACAGGAAUGGUGACGUUUGGGUCUGUGCUUAAUGGGGGAAAGUAAACUGGCUUAAAUCUAAUGUCAAACUAGAUGUGGGACUAACAAUUAGAGAAAUAAGAUUUCUGAACAUAACUUUGUGACCAAAGAAUGCUACCGAGGAUAAACGGGGAGAAAAACUGAGGGACCAACACUUGAAUUUAUGAGGAGGUAUGGUAAUCACUGUUUUAAGUAAUCCAGACUAUUAACUGCCGUGCUGCUAGGUAGAGAAUUCGUUAGCCCAACGAAAGGCAUAAAUCGGAAUUUGAGGUUGUGUGGGAGAAAUCCUCUUGAUCCCCAAAGCAUAAAUUGCAUGUACUGAGAAGAAAGCUGCACACGAUUGUAAUUUUUUUCUGUCUUAUCCUGAUUAAUUGACAGCCAACUGUAUGCCUCUUUCCUGAAGGUGACUUUACAAUCUCCAGACACAGACAUUCUCUCCGAAGUGGAGUGAAGGAAGGAGAACCCACAGCUAAAGGCAAUGAAAGAGGAAAAGUUGACACUUUGAGAAGUUAUGACGAACUUGUCGAGAAUGCCAAUUGACAAAGGCAGAAGCAGAGAGCUUAUCUCAUCCCAUGUGAUCGAUGCCGGUCCUGGGGAAGACUGACUGUGUAGAAGUGAAUGGAUUUCCAACAUACCAAUCACAGAAGAAACAAGGGUAUAUUUAGCAAGUCUAAAACCUCUUCGAUAAACUGCAUUGCUUUUCAUUUGCACCGUAAGGUCAUAAGCCAGUGGAUGGUAAGAAGGCCGUGGUAACGACACAGCGUGUACUCCCAGGAAGUGUGUGGGAUGGGGAUGUUAUAUCUGAAAGGACAGGGCAUCUGGGAGGAUGAACUGCCCAUAACUCUCAAUUGUCCAGGUAAUGAAGCAUUGGAAAGCAAAGGCAAAUGAAAUACUUUGAUAAUCAAAAAUGAUGCUUCUUGUAGUGAUCCCAUUAGUUGACUGAUGAUGACAAGUGUGAAAUUGUGAGCUGUAUUUUUACCAUUUCUGGCACUCAUGGCCCAUUUCUGUUGAGUGCAUUUAUGCAGAAAGUGGGAACCCGGACAAUUUCCAUAGACCAGGCUGUUAACCCAGAAGAUGUAAAAUUUCACAGCGUGAAGGAUGAGGGUUGAAGAUUAGCGAGGGACUAAAAUUUCUUGAGGCCCUACAAAGAAUCCGUAGAAGAACUGAUAACUGCACUGAUUGGCUCUGGGAAGUCCUAAAGCUCGUGUUCUAACCUUGAGCUGUGAGGGUGUGUGCUGGGUACGUGGUACUCACUCAUGGUGUUGUCGCUGGUCAUGUUCUGUUAGCCCAAAGCCUGUUGGAGACAGAAGGGACCUUAUGAAUCAUGUACCCUGGCCCUCCUGGUUUAAACUGACGCUCACAGAGGUGUAAUAAUGUGCCCAAAGUUCCGUUCCUAGUAAAUAGCAAGGCUGUGAGAAGAGUACAGGUCUUCUGCUUCCACACCCAGUGUUCCUUCCACGUGGAUGCUGUGCCAGGAUGCUCAGAAGUUCCAGGAAUGUACAAAACCAAGCUCCUGCCCUCCUAGGAAAGCCCCCUGAGGAUAUUACAGUGUGUACACAAGUUAACCCAGCACGAGAUAGUUGACCCGUAUGAAAGUCAGUGCGCGCCAUGUGGGUUCUGCAGAAAUAAUAGAACAUUAUCAGUAAUUGUUAUUUUUUUAAAUCCCACUAGGCAUUUAUAUUAUAUACAAAUGAGCUUGUGAACCUGUGGCUGUGUCCAAUAAGACCAUUCUAAAGCACAGUGACCUUGCUGCCUGUGGCUCCGUGCUCUGAUUCAGAAGGAAGUAAAAUAGAGGCUAUGGAGGGGAAUAUCUUGUCAUUAGCACCUGCGUGGGUGGUUACGUUAGCUGGAGCUGGCCACAGGGGAGGUGUCUCUCAGCCGCUGCCCUCUUUCCUCGAGGCAGAGGAUUUAUACAGAUGCUCAGAAGCAAGUCUGCCAAUGGAAUGCUAUAUAGCCAGGAAAAAUCACGUUGUAGUAGAAAAAUAGCUUUUGACAGGAAAAUGUCAGUCACUUAUUAGUGAAGAGUAGUAACUUUCAUAGUAGUAUACACAGAAUGUCAUCAUUUUUGUAAGGAAUUACUGUGUGUGUGUGUGUGUGUGUGUGUGUGUGUGUGUAUUAAUAUGGACCCAUCUACACCUUGAUAAUGAAAUGAUAAGAUGGUUAUUUCUGGAUUGAUUACCUCUGGUGUUAGUUUUUUUUUUCUCUGUGCUCUUCUGUAUUUCUGACUUGCCUGUG